GCCGGCGCGGGCGCACACGCCCACACGGCAGGGGCCGGGCGGGCGGCGUCUGUCUCCUCCUGCUUGCCGUAGGAGGCGGUGCGGCGCAGACAGUGGGCCGCCACCUCCGCCGCUGCCUCAGGGGGCAAGUAACGCAGACGCCGCGGCUAGCCUCCCCGAGGAGCCUGGCGCCCGCGGACAGGUGGGCUUCCCGCCCAGAGACGCUCGGGCUGCCCGCACGGCCCGGGGGACCCCCGCCAGCGGCCUGUCCGCGGUUCGCCUCGGCGGCCGGGGAGGGAGGGAGGGAGGGCGGCGCGGACGGCCGUCCCGGUCCUCGCGGGCGGCGGUCCCGGUCCUCGCGGGCGGCAGCUGGCCCGGCGUCGGGCUCCCCAGUUUCUGGUACCGAAGCGCAGACGGGUUUCCUUGUCGGAGCCACGCACCGUUAAUGCAAGGCCGUAGAAUAGAAUAUCUCUCUAUGCCUGUCUCACCAGUGUAUUUUGGAACCACAUAACUUGUCUGAUGUCGCAGGCUCACAGCUGGCAAGGAAUUUUGCCUUCGAGUGAACCAUAUCUCAAGUCUCGACCAUACCUGAUGAUAUUCAGGGACUGCCCUGACGCAGUGGUUAAGAACCUAACUGCCGACACAGGGGGCACGGGUUCGAGCCCUGGUCCGGGAAGAUCCCACAUGCCGAGGAGCAACUAAGCCCGUGCGCCACAGCUACUGAGCCCACGUGCCACAACUACUGAAGCCCGCAUGCCUAGAGCUUGUGCUCUGCAGCAAGAGAAGCCACCGCGAUGAGAAGCCCGCGCACCGCAACAAAGAGUAGCCCCUGCUCGCCGCAACUAGAGGAAACCCAUGUGCAGCAAUGAAGACCCAAUGCAGCCAAAAAUAAAUAAAUGAAAGAAAUAAAUUUAUAAAUAAAUAAAUAAAGACCGGGAGGAUAGAAAAGGCAAUCUCCUACUUUAAAUCUACUUAGAGUCCCUUAAGGAGAAUCUAGAGAAAGGAGGUAAGCAUGUGUUCAUAUAAUGGGUGAGGACUUUCCAAACCAAUAAGAGACAUAAAUCUAUAGAUCAGGAAUCACUAAGAACAGGACCAGUAAAAAAUCCAAUCUAGAUACAGUAUGGCUAAACCGAGAACAUAAAAGACAACACAUCUUAAAGUCAGCUGCAUUAGUUUCCCAGGUCUCUGUAACAAAGUUCCACAAACUGAAUGGCUUAACAUCACAGGAAUUUAUAUAUAGUCUCAUAGUUCUAGAGACUGGAAGUCCGAACUCCAGGUGUCAGCGGGGCGUGGUCCCUGUGAAG